rnacentral:lncRNA from 10 species
ACUCUGCGCCGACCGGCUGGGCCUGGCACCCGCGGGCGGCCCCAGCCUCAGUCUCCAGCUACCUUUGCCUCCUGCGGCCGCCCCCAGGCAGAGCUGCGAUCCCACCGCCGGGGGUGCAGGGAGAGGGAAGAUCUGGCCUCCUUGGUCCUUUUGCGUGGGCUCUUCAGAGCGUGAGCGCCGGGGAGGGACUCCGGAGAAAAGCUUGGGGGGCUGCGUAUUGCUGCUCCCCAAGCUGGGCGUCAGGACCAACCCCGCCGCCCCCACGGGCCUGACGGGAGAGGAGGAAGGGCUCGGGACGGUCGGCUCGCCGAGCCAACCAGGUGGCGCCUGAAGAGCUGUCCAUGGUGUCGACAGCCCAGCAAACGGCACCGAGUUCCUAGUCUGAGUGUCUGGAUAGGUAGCAGAAGAAAAACUAAUGCCUGCUCUGGGACAGUUCUGUUCGGUGCCUUUUCUUGUGUGUUCUGGAGCUCACAGGGUUCUAUCGAAGAGUGCUUAGGUGUAUACGAUGGAGAGUGGGACGUCACAAACCAGGAUCUCAAGGCUGAGUCCAACAAAACAUGGCCGUAGGGAGGCCACGACAGCUGUGGUUGUCACCGACGGAUGAAUAGCUUUUGCCAACCGUGGAAUUUAGUAACUAAAGGCACCUAACCCUUUUAUCUCAUCCUCAUUUUUCAACAAAUGGUGCUUCCUGGCUAAUAUCAGCGUGUCCCAUAGAUUUCUGCUUCCAUUGAAUAGACCUAAUAAGAAAGAGAAUGAAGUCAAAGCCAACAGGGCAGAAAGAAAUUGAAAACCUGAAGAACCCAGCACUCAAACUGUCUCCACUUGCGUUUGCUUUUUCUUUACCUCUUCUCCUUCUGGUUUUCAACAGCCAAAGCAGGAUUUAAAUUUGGUUAUGUUGCAAAAAUCAUUUCCCUCUUCAGGCCCUGUCAUGUGACUUGAUUUUUUCGUCCAUUUUAGAGAAGCUGUACCCACCCUGGUUUCAGGACACGGAACUAAAUUUAUUAGAAAAGAAGCCACUUCAAGUCAUGAAGGAGAAACACAAAGAUUCUUGGAUUUAGUUCUAAGAACUAGAGGGGAUUUCUAUGUCAGUACUGUCUCAGAAAAAACUGUUGAUAUCAAAUGUGUUGCUUGAGAAGUACCUUUUUUUUUUUGAGACGGAGUCUCGCUCUGUCCGCCCAGGCUAGAGUGCAGUGGCGCGAUCUCGGCUCACUGCAAGCUCCGCCUCCCGGGUUCACGCCGUUCUCCUGCCUCAGCCUCCCGAGUAGCUGGGAUUACAGGUGCCCACCACCACGCCCGGCUAAUUUUUGUAUUUUUAGUAGAGACAGGGUUUCACCGUGUUAGCCAGGAUGGUCUCGAUCUCCUGACCUCGUGAUCCACCCGCCUCGGCCUCCCAAAGUGCUGGGAUAACAGGCGUGAGCCAUCGCGCCCGGCCGAGAGGUACCUUUUAUGACAACUGAAAUCAUUCAGUUUCAAGAGGAGUUGGGUACUGAAACCAAACUUGCUUACUCCAAAGCCCAAAAUCCUUUCCACCAUGCCUGUGUGUCUGUAAGGCUACACUAGAAAUGCUUCCUUUCUUAUAGUGGGAAGCAUGGGUACUAAGCUCUUUUACGAACAAGUGUUCUGCAUAUUCCUGGUUCCUUUUUAUUUUGGACUGAGGAGAUUUAGGUCAAAAUUUCUGGGUUCUGGGUUGG